UGGGGUGUCGUCUAACGGCAGGACAACGGAUUUUGGUUCCGUUUAUCGUGGUUCGAAUCCACGCACCCCAGCCA
rnacentral:tRNA from 1 species